rnacentral:rRNA from 1 species
AUACAGAGGGUGCAAGCGUUAAUCGGAUUUACUGGGCGUAAAGCGCGCGUAGGCGGCUAAUUAAGUCAAAUGUGAAAUCCCCGAGCUUAACUUGGGAAUUGCAUUCGAUACUGGUUAGCUAGAGUAUGGGAGAGGAUGGUAGAAUUCCAGGUGUAGCGGUGAAAUGCGUAGAGAUCUGGAGGAAUGCCGAUGGCGAAGGCAGCCAUCUGGCCUAAUACUGACACUGAGGUGCGAAAGCAGGGGGAGCAAACAGGAUUAGAUACCCUGGUAGUCCAUGCCGUAAACGAUGUCUACUAGCCGUUGGGGCUCUUGAGGCUUUAGUGGCGCAGCUAACGCGAUAAGUAGACCGCCUGGGGAGUACGGUCGCAAGACUAAAACUCAAAUGAAUUGACGGGG